CCUCCGGUCUCUCUCUCUGCCUCCCACUCCGGAUGGGAGACGGGAACCCCACCUCCAGUGGGCAGAGUACCAGUAUAGUACCAUGGUACCAGUGUAAAGUACCAUGGUACCAGUGUAUAGUGUCAUGGUACCAGUGUAAAGUAACAUGGUACCAGUGUAAAGUACCAUGGUACCAGUGUAAAGUACCAUGGUACCAGUGUAUAGUGCCAUGGUACAAGUGUAGUACCAUGGUACCAGUGUAAAGUACCAUGGUACCAGUGUAUAGUGCCAUGGUACCAGUAUAUAGUACCAUGGUACCAGUAAAUAGUAGUGUAUAGUGCCAUAGUACCAGUGUAUCGUACCACGGUACCAGUGUAUAGUACCAUGGUACCAGUGUAAAGUACCAGUACCUUGGUACCAGUGUAUAGUACCUUGGUACCAGUGUAUACCAGUGUCUCGUACCUUGGUACCAGUGUAUCGUACCUUGGUACCAGUGUGUGGUACUGUAUCGUACCUUGGUACCAGUGUAUCGUACCCUGGCACCAGUGUAUACCAGUGUAUCAUACCUUGGUACCAGUGUAUACCAGUGUAUCGUACCUUGGUACCAGUGUAUACCAGUGUAUCGUACCUUGGUACCAGUGUAUCGUACCUUGGUACCAGUGUAUACCAGUGUAUCGUACCUUGGUACCAGUGUAUCGUACCUUGGUACCAGUGUGUGGUACUGUAUCUUACUUUGGUACCAGUGUAUACCAGUGUAUCGUACCUUGGUACCAGUGUGUAUCGUACUUUGGUACCAGUGCACCUUGUGUCUCUCUUCCUUUCUGUGUUCACUUGAUGAGAACGGGCUCCAACCCACGGAGACCGCCUGCGCGUAUGUGCGUGCGCGUGUGCACGUCUGCGAGUGUGUGUGCAUGUGGAAGUUGUGCGAGUGUGUGUGACAGUAAACACCAUGAAUUGAUUGGUUGUUUCAGGGAGAUAGCUUUGUGAAAACAGCUCUUGUUCCCGAUGGGUGAAGGGAGAGAGAGAGAGAGAGAGAGAGAGAGAGAGAGAGAGAGAGACAGAGAGAAAGACAGAGAGAGAGAGACAGAGAGAGAGAGGGAGAGCGAUAGAGGGAGGCAGUGUUGAUGCUGCAGUGGGUUGUCAUUGG
ensembl:lncRNA